ACCUAGCUGGCUCAGUCAGUAGAGCGUGAGACUCUUGAUCUCAGGAUUGUGAGUUCGAGCCCCAUUCUGGGCA
rnacentral:tRNA from 1 species